rnacentral:lncRNA from 1 species
GCUGUCCUCAAUUAGUCUGUGAUAGCUAUUUAUAUCACUCCUGACUGCUUGUCUCCAAUUAUGAAUCUGUACAGAAGGCCAAGUCUGAAUUUACAUGGAACAUACCUCAGCAAGUCUCAUAAUAUAAAUGACUAAAACGUGAUUAAGAAACUAAAAGAGACUUGCGAAGGCAUUUCAAGGUUCCACAGAAGUCAUCUGAGUUACUGAGGCUGUACUAAAAUAGUGAAAUCAGAAUUUGAUACCAGCGUGGGGAUUUGUCCCCUUGUGUGAUUUCCUGCAGGGGUUGGGCUGUUUUCUCCAGCACUCUUCACUGGGUCACAGAGCUGCUUUGCUGUUGUCCUGCUGAGCAGGACUGUGCCAGGGAUGCUAUUGCUAUUGAAGAUCAUUACCAGCUGCUGAUGAGGUGCCACAAAGUCCCAUGGAACUCUUAAAGUAGUAGAACAGCCGGGCAAAUCAGCUCUUCUCAGCUUUUUCUCUGCUUCCCCUGCCUGCUGAAUGUCCUCUUGACACAGAAGCUUCAGAUAAAACCACAGACCAGGUUGAAUGUGAAAUGGGAUCUGUACAGUGAGCAAAACUGCUGGAUAAGUUGCUCUGAGGAGCUGCACUUGAAUGAGAGCUAUUAUGGGAGAGUGCUGCUCAAGACCUGCU